GAAUUGACGGGGACCCGCACAAGCGGUGGAGCAUGUGGUUUAAUUCGAAGCAACGCGAAGAACCUUACCAAAUCUUGACAUCCUUUGACCGCUCUAGAGAUAGAGUUUUCCUCUUCGGAGGACAAAGUGACAGGUGGUGCAUGGUUGUCGUCAGCUCGUGUCGUGAGAUGUUGGGUUAAGUCCCGCAACGAGCGCAACCCUUGAACUUAGUUGCCAUCAUUCAGUUGGGCACUCUAAGUUGACUGCCGGUGACAAACCGGAGGAAGGUGGGGAUGACGUCAAAUCAUCAUGCCCCUUAUGAUUUGGGCUACACACGUGCUACAAUGGACAAUACAAAGGGCAGCGAAACCGCGAGGUCAAGCAAAUCCCAUAAAGUUGUUCUCAGUUCGGAUUGUAGUCUGCAACUCGACUACAUGAAGCUGGAAUCGCUAGUAAUCGUAGAUCAGCAUGCUACGGUGAAUACGUUCCCGGGUCUUGUACACACCGCCCGUCACACCACGAGAGUUUGUAACACCCG
rnacentral:rRNA from 1 species